rnacentral:rRNA from 1 species
GACGAACGCUGGCGGCCAGCCUAACACAUGCAAGUCGAACGCCGUAGCAAUACGGAGCGGCAGACGGGUGAGUAACACGUGGGAACGUGCCUUUCGGUUCGGAACAACUGAGGGAAACUUCAGCUAAAACCGGACACGUCCUUCGGGGGAAAGUUUAAGCAGAAAGAUCGGCCCGCGUCAGAUGAGGUAGUUGGCGGGGUAAUGGCCCACCAAGCCGAUGAUCUGUAGCUGUUCUGAGAGGAAGAUCAGCCACACGGGGACUGAGACACGGCCCAGACUCCUACGGGAGGCAGCAGUGGGGAAUAUUGGACAAUGGGCGCAAGCAUGAUCCAGCUAUGCCGCGUGGAUGAAGAAGGCCUUCGGGUUGUAAAGUCCUUUCGGCGGGGAAGAUAAUGACGGUACCCGCAGAAGAAGCCCCGGCUAAUUUCGUGCCAGCCGCCGCAGUAACAC